AUGGCGAGCACGAUCUUGGCUCAGGAUGAACGCUAGCGGCGUGCCUAAUACAUGCUAGUCGAACGCACCGGCCCCAAACCAGGCCCGAAGGGCACAGCAGGCGGGAGAAAUCCCGUCGACUGUGCUCGACGGGUGAGGCAGAAAGCCGGUCAGUGGCAAACGGGUGAGUAACACGUGGGUGACCUGCCCUGAAGUGGGGGAUAGCCGCCCGAAAGGGCGGAUAAUCCCUCAUGUGAUCCGCCGUCUUGGCGGCGGAUGAAAGGCUGUGUGGAAAUGCCUGUAGGGGCGGUUUACGAGCCGCCCCUGCGAUGCAAUGCCUGUAGGGGCGGUUUACGAGCCGCCCCUGCGACGGAAUGCCUGUAGGGGCGGUUCGCGAACCGCCCCUACGGAGGCGCUACAGCCGCUUCAGGAGGGGCCCGCGGCCUAUCAGCUCGUUGGUGGGGUAAAGGCCCACCAAGGCGAUGACGGGUAGCUGGUCUGAGAGGACGGCCAGCCACACUGGCACUGAGACAAGGGCCAGGCUCCUACGGGAGGCAGCAGUAGGGAAUCUUGCACAAUGCGGGAAACCGUGAUGCAGCGACGCCGCGUGAGGGACGGAGGCCUUCGGGUCGUAAACCUCUUUUCUGGGGGAGGAGAGAGGACAGUACCCCAGGAAUAAGCCUCGGGUAACUACGUGCCAGCAGCCGCGGUAAAACGUAGGAGGCGAGCGUUAUCCGCAUUUACUGGGCGUAAAGCGCGUGCAGGCGGCCGCACAAGUUGGGCGUGAAAUCUCCCGGCUCAACUGGGAGGGGUCGCCCAAUACUGUGUGGCUCGAGGGCAGGAGGGGGAAGUGGAACUCCCGGUGUAGCGGUGGAAUGCGCUGAUAUCGGGAAGAACCUCAGUGGCGAAGGCGGCUUCCUGGCCUGCUCCUGACGCUCAGACGCGAAAGCCGGGGGAGAGAUCAGGAUCAGAUACCCUGGUAUUCCCGGCUGUAAACGAUGGAUACUCGGCCUCGGGGGCCGACCCUCGGGGCCUAAGCUAACGCGUAAGUAUCCCGCCUGAGGAAUACGGCCGCAAGGCUGAAACUCAAGAGAAUUGGCGGGGGCCCGCACAAGCAGCGGAGCGUGCGGUUCAAUCCGAUGUGAAACGUAGAACCUUACCGGGGCUUGACAUGCGCGUGGUAGCGAGGCGAAAGCCAAGUGACCCCCGCGCGAACGCGGGGGAGCGCGCACAGGUGCUGCAUGGCUGUCGUCAGCUCGUGCCGUGAGGCGUUGGGCUCACCCCCACAACGGGCGCAACCCUCGUCGCCAGUUAGAUCUCUCUGGCGAGACCGCCGCGUAAGCCGGAGGAAGGAGGGGAUGACGUCAAGUCGGCAUGGCCCUGAUGCCCCGGGCCACACGCACGCUACAAUGGCCGGUACAACGGGUUGCCAAGCCGCGAGGCGGAGCCAAUCCCUUGAAAGCCGGCCCCAGUUCGGAUUGCAGGCUGCAACCCGCCUGCAUGAAGCCGGAGCUGCUAGUAACCGCCGGUCAGCAACUACGGCGGUGAAUACGUUCCCGGGCCCUGUACAGACCGCCCGUCACGUCCGGGGAGCCAACGCCACCUGAAGGCGGUGGCGCCAACCCCGCCAACCCAAUGGCAGGGAGGCAGCCGCCCAGGGUGGUGGCGGCAACCUGGAUGAAGCCGCAACAAGGUAGCCGUACCGGAAGGUGUGGCUGGACCACCUGUUUUUC
rnacentral:rRNA from 1 species